CCUACGGGUGGCAGCAGUAGGGAAUUUUGCGCAAUGGGCGCAAGCCUGACGCAGCAACGCCGCGUGAACGAGACGCGCUUCGGGGUGGAAAGUUUCUUUUGUGGGGACCAAAAAUGACGGUACCCACAGAGGAAGCACCCGCUAACUCCGUGCCAGCAGCCGCGGUAAUACGGAGGGUGCAAGCGUUGUCCGGAAUCAUUGGGCGUAAAGAGUGCGUAGGCGGCAAGUAAAGUCAGGUGUUAAAGGCGCAGGCUCAACCUGGGUAUGGCGCUUGAUACUUGCAAUCUUGAGUGCGGUAGAGGUAAGGGGAAUUCCGGGUGUAGCGGUGAAAUGCGUAGAUAUCAGGAGGAACAUCAGUGGCGAAGGCGCUUUACUGGACCGUAAUUGACGCUGAGGAACGAAAGCGAGGGGAGCAAAUAGGAUUAGAUACCCCUGUAGUC
rnacentral:rRNA from 1 species